rnacentral:rRNA from 1 species
AUGUUGCUCUCGGCCUCAGUGAACUCCAUCUCGUCCAUCCCCUCACCAGUGUACCAAUGCAAGAAAGCCUUCCUCCUGAACAUGGCCGUGAACUGCUCGCUCACACGCCGGAACAUCUCCUGGAUGGAGGUGGAGUUGCCGAUGAAGGUGGACGCCAUGGAGAGGCCGCGUGGUGGGAUGUCACACACGCUUGACUUGACGUUGUUGGGGAUCCACUCCACGAAGUAG